rnacentral:tRNA from 1 species
AAUUAGAUGGCUGAUGUAAAGCACUGGUCUCUUAAACCAUUAAUGGGUUUACCUCUAAA